rnacentral:rRNA from 1 species
CAGUCGCCGCGGGAAUACAGAGGAUGCAAGUGUUAUCCGGAAUGGUUGGGCGUAAAGCGUCUGUAGGUGGCUUUUCAAGUCUGUUGUCAAAUCCCAGGGCUCAACCCUGGACAGGCGGUGGAAACUACCAAGCUGGAGUACGGAAGGGGCAGAGGGAAUUUCCGGUGGAGCGGUGAAAUGCGUUGAGAUCGGAAAGAACACCAUUGGCGAAAGCACUCUACUGGGCCGACACUGACAUUGAGAGACGAAAGCUAGGGGAGCAAAUGGGAUUAGAUACCCCAGUAGUCCCUGUCUCUUAUAA